AAUGAGCGCUGGCGGCGUGCCUAACACAUGCAAGUCGAGCGAGAAAGGCCUUCGGGCUGAGUAGAGCGGCGAACGGGUGAGUAAAGCGUGAGAAUCUGCCUUUCAGUGAGGAAUACCUUUGGGAAACCGAAGUUAAUACUGCAUACGUCCCUUCGGGGAGAAAGAUGGCCUCUUUGCUGUCGCUGAUUGACGAGCUUACGUACUAUUAGCUAGUUGGUAGGGUAAAGGCCUACCAAGGCGAUGAUGGUUAGCCGGCCUGAGAGGGUGUACGGCCACACUGGAACUUAGACACGGUCCAG
rnacentral:rRNA from 1 species